rnacentral:rRNA from 1 species
GAUGAACGCUAGCGGCAGGCUUAAUACAUGCAAGUCGAGGGGCAGCAGGACUGUAGCAAUACAGUUGCUGGCGACCGGCAAACGGGUGCGGAACACGUACGCAACCUUCCUUUAAGUGAGGGAUAGCCCAGGGAAACUUGGAUUAAUACCUCGUAAUAUUUGAGAGUGGCAUCACUUUCUAAUUAUAGCUCCGGCGCUUAAAGAUGGGCGUGCGACUGAUUAGGCAGUUGGCGGGGUAACGACCCACCAAGCCUGCGAUCAGUAACUGGUGUGCGAGAACGACCAGUCACACGGGCAUCGAGACACGGGCCCGACUCCUACGGGAGGCAGCAGUAAGGAAUAUUGGUCAAUGGACGUAAGUCUGAACCAUCCAUGCCGCGUGGAGGAUGAAGGUCCUCUGGAUUGUAAACUUCUUUUAUCUGGGAAGAAACCCAUAUUUUCUUGAUUGUUUGACGGUACUAUAGGAAUAAGCACCGGCUAACUCCGUGCCAGCAGCCGCAGUAAGAC